UACGUAGGGUGCAAGCGUUAAUCGGAAUUACUGGGCGUAAAGCGUGCGCAGGCGGUUUCGUAAGUCUGUCGUGAAAUCCCCAGGCUUAAUCUGGGAAUGGCGAUGGAGACUGCGAGGCUAGAGUUUGGCAGAGGGGGGUAGAAUUCCACGUGUAGCAGUGAAAUGCGUAGAGAUGUGGAGGAACACCGAUGGCGAAGGCAGCCCCCUGGGUCAAAACUGACGCUCAUGCACGAAAGCGUGGGGAGCAAACAGG
rnacentral:rRNA from 1 species